rnacentral:rRNA from 1 species
GAGGAACGCUGGCGGCGUGCUUAACACAUGCAAGUCGAGCGAUGAAGUUUCCUUCGGGAAAUGGAUUAGCGGCGGACGGGUGAGUAACACGUGGGUAACCUGCCUCAUAGAGUGGAAUAGCCUUCCGAAAGGAAGAUUAAUACCGCAUAAUGUUGAAAGAUGGCAUCAUCAUUCAACCAAAGGAGUAAUCCGCUAUGAGAUGGACCCGCGGCGCAUUAGCUAGUUGGUGGGGUAACGGCCUACCAAGACAAUGAUACGUAGCCGACCUGAGAGGGUGAUCGGCCACACUGGGACUGAGAACGGCCCAG